rnacentral:rRNA from 1 species
UGGGGAAUAUUGCACAAUGGGCGCAAGCCUGAUGCAGCCAUGCCGCGUGUGUGAAGAAGGCCUUCGGGUUGUAAAGCACUUUCAGCGAGGAGGAAGGUGGUGAGCUUAAUACGCUCAUCAAUUGACGUUACUCGCAGAAGAAGCACCGGCUAACUCCGUGCCAGCAGCCGCGGUAAUACGGAGGGUGCAAGCGUUAAUCGGAAUUACUGGGCGUAAAGCGCACGCAGGCGGUUUGUUAAGUCAGAUGUGAAAUCCCCGGGCUCAACCUGGGAACUGCAUUUGAAACUGGCAAGCUAGAGUCUCGUAGAGGGGGGUAGAAUUCCAGGUGUAGCGGUGAAAUGCGUAGAGAUCUGGAGGAAUACCGGUGGCGAAGGCGGCCCCCUGGACGAAGACUGACGCUCAGGUGCGAAAGCGUGGGGCAGCAAACAGGAUUAGAUACCCUGGUAGUCCAGCGCUGUAAACGAUGUCGAUUUGGGAGGUUGUGCCCUUGAGGCGUGGCUUCCGGAGCUAACGCGUUAAAUCGACCGCCUGGGGAGUACGGCCGCAAGG